AAGCGAAGGACCCAGCAGGGAAGCGAGUAUACUCAUGAAAUGAGGCUUCUCUAACAAUUUAAUUAACCUUCGUAGAUUUAGUCUCGAGGAACUCUUUGAGGAUCUGUUUCUUUUUUCGCAGAUUGUCUUGUGUUCUUUGUGUAUAGUC
rnacentral:snoRNA from 11 species